rnacentral:rRNA from 1 species
UACGAAGGGGGCUAGCGUUGCUCGGAAUCACUGGGCGUAAAGCGCACGUAGGCGGAUUGUUAAGUCAGGGGUGAAAUCCUGGAGCUCAACUCCAGAACUGCCUUUGAUACUGGCGAUCUUGAGUCCGGGAGAGGUGAGUGGAACUGCGAGUGUAGAGGUGAAAUUCGUAGAUAUCGGGAGGAACACCGGUGGCGAAGGCGGCGAUCUGGGUGCGAUACUGACGCUGAGGUGCGAAAGCGUGGGGAGCAAACAGG